CGCUGGCGGCGUGCCUAACACAUGCAAGUCGAACGGAGUGCUUCAUCAGAUUCUUCGGAAUGAAGAUGGAGUUACUUAGUGGCGGACGGGUGAGUAACGCGUGAGGAACCUGCCUUCCAGAGGGGGGACAACAGUUAGAAAUGACUGCUAAUACCGCAUAUGCCUAAGUAACACAUGUUACAAUAGGGAAAGGAGCAAUCCGCUGAUAGAUGAGCUUGCGUCUGAUUAGAUAGUUGGUGGGGUAACGGCCUACCAAGUCGACGAUCAGUAGCCGGACUGAGAGGUUGAACGGCCACAUUGGGACUGAGAUACGGCCCAGACUCCUACGGGAGGCAGCAGUCGGGAAUAUUGCGCAAUGGAGGAAACUCUGACGCAGUGACGCCGCGUGCAGGAAGAAGGUUUUCGGAUUGUAAACUGCUUUAGACAGGGAAGAAACAAGACAGUACCUGUAGAAUAAGCUCCGGCUAACUACGUG
rnacentral:rRNA from 1 species